UACGUAGGGUGCGAGCGUUAAUCGGAAUUACUGGGCGUAAAGCGUGCGCAGGCGGUCCGUUAAGACAGUCGUGAAAGCCCCGGGCUUAACCUGGGAAUGGCGAUUGUGACUGGCGGGCUAGAGUGUGGCAGAGGGGGGUGGAAUUCCACGUGUAGCAGUGAAAUGCGUAGAGAUGUGGAGGAACACCGAUGGCGAAGGCAGCCCCCUGGGCUGACACUGACGCUCAUGCACGAAAGCGUGGGGAGCAAACAGG
rnacentral:rRNA from 1 species